UCAUUCCGUUUACAAUGAAAGUGUUAAUAUUGUGAAUCUGAGCUUUGUGUUAUAUGGAGUGACAGAAUGUGGAAAAGCUCAAGGAGUGCAGACACUUCAGUUCAGUUUACCAUGACUAGUUAACUUUUACACUUCAGCAACUUUACAAACUAGAAAAAGCUUUUUGGAUUCCACUAAGGCUUUGAUUUAUGUUACCCAAACGUACAGUAAAUCCUGCCUGUUUAUCCAUAGCUCUGUCUCAGAGUGUCACUUCUGUAAUCACAGGGCGUCCAGUGGGCAAAUCUUCAGACACCCAUUUGUUAGCUGACUCAGCAGCCGGUUGGACAGGGAGCUGGCAGAUUGCUCGGCUGAUCUGGGCUGCAGCUUUAAUUCACCAGCCUCCUCUCCAGCUUUAACUCACCCCAUGCUAGUGGCCUGGUUCAGCUUGGAAAAGAAGAAUUCAGGAAGGAACAUGGGAGAGCGGUUUACUCCUGGUUGUGGAAAAAGGUUAUGAAACUAAGUUUUUCACUGUUUCUCUUGUUGUUCCACAGUCAACCUAACAUGCAGAUCUUUGAUGCCUUUUUCUUAAUUUCCAUACAGUUCAGGAAAUGAAUUGCACUGUAAAUGUUGACCAACAGAAAGAAACAUUGCCAUUACCAAAUCAUCUUCUGUUCCCUCACUGCCUGCCCAAAUAAACACAAUGCAUCAUAACUGCUUUAAAGUUGCAGUAGGUUAGAUAUACAAUUUUUUACAUAUUUGUUAAAUUUGUCACCAUCUUGUGGCAGUUUCUUGUGAGACAGAUAAUCUGUGAA